rnacentral:misc_RNA from 1 species
AAAAUAUUGAAGGUAAUUAGCUAAUGCCAUUUUUUGGUCCGAACCUUUUUUUUUUUCCUGCAAUUAACUGAGCUGUGAAAUUUUCUCAUUGUAUCAGUAACAAUACUUAUAAUUUCGUGCUUCAAAAGUAGAUUUCUAUCCCAGUAAUGUCCAUAAACUCUUCCCUGUUUUGGAAUAUAAUUAGGACAUCAAACAUAAGUUAAG